rnacentral:rRNA from 1 species
AAGCGAAUAACAAAAGCUGGAUAAAGACAUUUAGGUGCCUAUAUCGGUGGUGUCCACCUCUUCCCAUUCCGAACAGAGAAGUUAAGCCCACCAGAGCCGAUGGUACUGCGGUAACACGUGGGAGAGUAGGUCGGUGCCAAAU